rnacentral:rRNA from 1 species
UACGUACCGUCCAAACGUUAUUCGGAAUUACUGGGCUUAAAGGGUAUGUAGGCGGCUCUGUUAGUCGGGUGUGAAAUCCCUCGGCUCAACCGAGGAAUUGCGCCCGAUACUGCAGUGCUUGAGGGAGACAGAGGUAAGCGGAACUGAUGGUGGAGCGGUGAAAUGCGUUGAUAUCAUCAGGAACACCGGUGGCGAAAGCGGCUUACUGGGUCUCUUCUGACGCUGAGAUACGAAAGCUAGGGGAGCGAAGGGG